CGGGCUGCCUUCGGGCGCCCAACCUCCCACCCGUGACUACCAAACACUGUUGCUUCGGCGGGAAUCUCCCCUGGGAGUGAACCGCCGGAGACCACUGAACUUCUUUGUUUAAGCAUGAUCUCUGAGCUUUAAUAAGCAAAUUGAUUAAAACUUUCAACAAUGGAUCUCUUGGUUCCGGCAUCGAUGAAGAACGCAGCGAACUGCGAUAAGUAAUGCGAAUUGCAGAAUUCAGUGAAUCAUCGAGUCUUUGAACGCACAUUGCGCCCCCUGGCAUUCCGGGGGGCAUGCCUGUCCGAGCGUCAUUUCUGCCCAUCAAGCGCGGCUUGUGUGUUGGGUCGUCGUCUCCUCCGGGAGACGGGCCCGAAAGGCAGCGGCGGUACCGUCCGGUCCUCGAGCGUAUGGGAGCUUUGUCACCCGCUCGAUUAGGGCCCGGUCGGCGCCAGCCGUCAACCCCAAUUUUUAUUCAGGUUGACCUCGGAUCAGGUAGGGAUACCCGCUGAACUUAAGCAUAUCAAUAAGCGGAGGAAAAGAAACCAACCGGGAUUGCCCCAGUAACGGCGAGUGAAGCGGCAAGAGCUCAAAUUUGAAAUCUGGCCCCUCCGGGGUCCGAGUUGUAAUUUGCAGAGGAUGCUUCGGGUGCGGCUCCUGUCUAAGUGCCCUGGAACGGGCCGUCAGAGAGGGUGAGAAUCCCGUCUUGGGCAGGAUGUCCGUGCCCGUGUGAAGCUCCUUCGACGAGUCGAGUUGUUUGGGAAUGCAGCUCUAAAUGGGUGGUAAAUUUCAUCUAAAGCUAAAUACCGGCCGGAGACCGAUAGCGCACAAGUAGAGUGAUCGAAAGAUGAAAAGCACUUUGAAAAGAGAGUUAAACAGCACGUGAAAUUGUUGAAAGGGAAGCGCUUGCGACCAGACUCGGCCCUGGGGUUCAGCCAGCAUUCGUGCUGGUGUACUUCUCCAGGGCCGGGCCAGCGUCGGUUUGGGCGGUCGGUCAAAGGCCCUAGGAAUGUAUCACCCUCCGGGGUUGUCUUAUAGCCUAGGGUGCAAUGCGGCCAGCCCGGACCGAGGAACGCGCU
rnacentral:misc_RNA from 1 species